GACGAACGCUGGCGGCGUGCUUAACACAUGCAAGUCGAACGGAAAGGCCCUGCUUUUGUGGGGUGCUCGAGUGGCGAACGGGUGAGUAACGCGUGAGUAACCUGCCCUUGACUUUGGGAUAACUUCAGGAAACUGGGGCUAAUACCGGAUAGGAGCUCCUGCUGCAUGGUGGGGGUUGGAAAGUUUCGGCGGUUGGGGAUGGACUCGCGGCUUAUCAGCUUGUUGGUGGGGUAGUGGCUUACCAAGGCUUUGACGGGUAGCCGGCCUGAGAGGGUGACCGGCCACAUUGGGACUGAGAUACGGCCCAGACUCCUACGGGAGGCAGCAGUGGGGAAUAUUGCACAAUGGGCGGAAGCCUGAUGCAGCAACGCCGCGUGCGGGAUAACGGCCUUCGGGUUGUAAACCGCUUUCGCCUGUGACGAAGCGUGAGUGACGGUAAUGGGUAAAGAAGCACCGGCUAACUACAUG
rnacentral:rRNA from 1 species